GGAGAGGGUGGGACUCCAGCAAGUGCGCUUUAUCCUUCCUCUCCAGAGACGAGCCAGGUACAAACAGCAGCUGACAGCCCACCGCCAGCAGACUCCAGCGACUCCAGCAGACCACGGCCUCCAUCGCUGCAGCUCCAGCUCGUAGAAUGAGUUACUACUUGGAUCCAGUUUCCUCCUGUCAGGCUCUUCAACCGCCUGACUGUCUGGGUGUAAUGAGGUCGAGUGGUGGGAUGGCAGUGACUCUGGUUCCUCACAUGCAGCCUCCC